UUUGACAUUAAUUUGACUUUGGUUAGAGAUACCUUGCUGUUUAGGAGUUUUUUUUUUUUGCUUUUGGACCCUAGGCUUGGCCUAGUGGUCAUGUUGCUAAUAUUUGCUUGAUUUUUCAGGAUGAAUAGCACAAGGCUUAUGGAGAAUGAUCCAAGUUGUUUCAAAUGAUGUUGUUUGAUGUUUGUACACUAACAUAACAUUGUUUUGUAGGUUGUGAAGCUUGGGCUUGAGCUCAUAGCUUGCCUUUGUGUGCCUUGGCUUGCAUAGUUUGAC
rnacentral:lncRNA from 1 species